rnacentral:tRNA from 1 species
UCGGGUAUGGUCUAGUGGCUAAACAUCGCUGACUCUCAACUUUGAGUACUCAGCAGCCCGGGGUUCGAUUCCCCGUUCCCGAG